rnacentral:rRNA from 1 species
GAUGAACGCUGGCGGCGUGCCUAAUACAUGCAAGUCGAGCGAACAGACGAGGAGCUUGCUCCUCUGACGUUAGCGGCGGACGGGUGAGUAACACGUGGAUAACCUACCUAUAAGACUGGGAUAACUUCGGGAAACCGGAGCUAAUACCGGAUAAUAUAUUGAACCGCAUGGUUCAAUAGUGAAAGACGGUUUUGCUGUCACUUAUAGAUGGAUCCGCGCCGCAUUAGCUAGUUGGUAAGGUAACGGCUUACCAAGGCAACGAUGCGUAGCCGACCUGAGAGGGUGAUCAGCCACACUGGAACUGAGACACGGUCUAGACUCCUACGGGAGGCAGCAGUAGGGAAUCUUCCGCAAUGGGCGAAAGCCUGACGGAGCAACGCCGCGUGAGUGAUGAAGGUCUUCGGAUCGUAAAACUCUGUUAUUAGGGAAGAACAAAUGUGUAAGUAACUAUGCACGUCUUGACGGUACCUAAUCAGAAAGCCACGGCUAACUACGUG